UAAGCGUGUGGUGAAAUUUAGGGGCGUCAACCUCUAAACGUCUACACGAACUGGCAAGCUAGAGUAUAUGAGGGGAGGCUUAGAAUUCCUAGUGUAGGAGUGGAAUCCGUAGAUAUUAGGAGGAAUACCAAUGGCGUAGGCAGAGUUCUGGCAUAUUACUGACACUAAGGCACGAAAGCGUGGGUAGCGAACGGGAUUAGAUACCCCGGUAGUCCACGCCGUAAACGAUGGAUGCUA
rnacentral:rRNA from 1 species